AUUGAACGCUGGCGGAAUGCUUUACACAUGCAAGUCGAACGGCAGCACGGACUUCGGUCUGGUGGCGAGUGGCGAACGGGUGAGUAAUAUAUCGGAACGUAUCCAAUAAUGGGGGAUAACUAAUCGAAAGGUUGGCUAAUACCGCAUACGUCCUACGGGAGAAAGCUAGGGACCUUCGGGCCUGGCGUUAAUGGAGCGGCCGAUAUCGGAUUAGCUAGUUGGUGAAGUAAAGGCGCACCAAGGCGACGAUCCGUAGCUGGUCUGAGAGGACGACCAGCCACACUGGAACUGAGACACGGUCCAGACUCCUACGGGAGGCAGCAGUGGGGAAUUUUGGACAAUGGGCGAAAGCCUGAUCCAGCCAUUCCGCGUGAGUGAAGAAGGCCUUCGGGUUGUAAAGCUCUUUCGCAAGAGAAGAAAACUUACCCUCUAACAUAGGGUGAGGUUGACGGUAUCUUGAUAAGAAGCACCGGCUAACUACGUGCCAGCCGCCGCAGUAA
rnacentral:rRNA from 1 species